GGGGAAUAUUGCACAAUGGGGGAAACCCUGAUGCAGCGACGCCGCGUGGAGGAAGAAGGUCUUCGGAUUGUAAACUCCUGUUGUUGGGGAAGAUAAUGACGGUACCCAACAAGGAAGUGACGGCUAACUACGUGCCAGCAGCCGCGGUAAAACGUAGGUCACAAGCGUUGUCCGGAAUUACUGGGUGUAAAGGGAGCGCAGGCGGGAAGACAAGUUGGAAGUGAAAUCUAUGGGCUCAACCCAUAAACUGCUUUCAAAACUGUUUUUCUUGAGUAGUGCAGAGGUAGGCGGAAUUCCCGGUGUAGCGGUGGAAUGCGUAGAUAUCGGGAGGAACACCAGUGGCGAAGGCGGCCUACUGGGCACCAACUGACGCUGAGGCUCGAAAGUGUGGGUAGCAAACAGGAUUAGAUACCCUGGUAGUCCACACCGUAAACGAUGAUUACUAGGUGUUGGAGGAUUGACCCCUUCAGUGCCGCAGUUAACACAAUAAGUAAUCCACCUGGGGAGUACGACCGCAAGGUUGAAACUCAAAGGAAUUGACGGGGGCCCGCACAAGCAGUGGAGUAUGUGGUUUAAUUCGACGCAACGCGAAGAACCUUACCAAGUCUUGACAUCCCUUGACAGGCAUAGAAAUAUGUUUUCUCUUCGGAGCAAGGAGACAGGUGGUGCAUGGUUGUCGUCAGCUCGUGUCGUGAGAUGUUGGGUUAAGUCCCGCAACGAGCGCAACCCUUAUGGUCAGUUACUACGCAAGAGGACUCUGGCCAGACUGCCGUUGACAAAACGGAGGAAGGUGGGGAUGACGUCAAAUCAUCAUGCCCCUUAUGACUUGGGCUACACACGUGCUACAAUGGCGUAAACAAAGGGAAGCGAAAAGGUGACUUCUAGCAAAUCCCAAAAAUAACGUCCCAGUUCGGACUGUAGUCUGCAACUCGACUACACGAAGCUGGAAUCGCUAGUAAUCGCGAAUCAGAAUGUCGCGGUGAAUACGUUCCCG
rnacentral:rRNA from 1 species